UCUUAUAAUUAAAUGUAUGACCAAAAUAUUAAAAUAAGAUGGAGGUUGCUUUUUCAACCUCCAUGCUUUGUCUCUCAUGCAUCUAAAUGCUAUCAUUAUUUUAGAGUAUUUUAAUGGUUAUGCCUUACCUUGCAUGGACUAUAUAAGAGAUGCAUGAGGCUUGCAAUUUUUGUUAAGUGAAACAUUCUCUUCUUCUUCCUUUCUUCUCACCAAAACCAUAAGUAGCAAAGUGUUAAUCCUCUUGCUUUUCUUUUGAAGGUCAUUCAAGUCCUUGGUGGUUCAAAGUGCUUCUCGUGACAACCCGAAAUUUCUAUCUUGUACAACCAUUCAACUCAAUCAAAGUCAGACUUGUUUCUACUAUCUUUUAGCAUUGUCUAGGGUCUGUUUGAGCGUUCUAAACCUAGUACAUCCAAGGAAUGAGUUUUAGGAAAUAUCUGUUGAAGUUCAAAACCGUCAAACAAGCCAUAAACUCCACAUCACAUGAGUUUACGGUCGUAAACUCAAGGUGGCCGUAAACUCAUGGCCUUAAGUAUGAUAUUCCUUCAUUUUUCCUCAUUAUUCACCAUUUCAAGUCAAGAAACUCGAAUUCUCUCUCAAGUAUCAUAAGGAUCUUCAUUUUUAUCUUCAAAAAUGUAAGUGUUUCAUCCUUUGUUUAGUUGAUACAUCUCCUUAACUAGUAUCGCCCUUUGAUUUCAUCCAUGAAAUUCAUCUUUUGGGUUAGAUCUUCAAGAACACCAAGAACACACUAGUUCUUUGGGCCGAAAUCAACCCUUUUUGCUUCCAUAUUGUAAGUUUCCUUUUCCUAUACUUGCUAUCUAGUGGAAGCUCUUGAUUUACAUCCUUGAAAACAACUAAUUCCCAUGAACAAUGAGAGUUUACGGCCAGGAUCAUCUCCCUUGGCCGUAAACCCUUGUUAAGGCUACGAGUUUGGCCAUAAACUCUUCUUAAGGCUAGGAUUAGGUCUAGAACACUUCCUGGUUGCUUAAAAGACCUUAAAAACACCCUUUAGCACAAGACUUCAUGAUUUUACAACCGUAAACUCAUAGGGUCGUAAACACCUUGGGCCGUGAACAUCAUGGUCCUGAACACUAAGUGUGGCCGUAAACUCCCUUAUAUGCAAUCAUAUGUGGUUGUAACACUUCAACAUAAGUGUUUCCUAGUCCAUAAGGUGGUUCCCUAUCAUGAUUAGUUGUUCAUACACUAAUUAUAUCCAUAUAUGUAUCAUUAUAUGCUUAAUAGGAUCCAUGUGUGCUCAAGUCUUCACUUGACACUUAGCAUCCUACAAUCUAUCUUACAUUCGCAUCACUCACUACAGGUGAGUUCAUACCCCCCUUAACUUAUAUUUUAAAUGAUUUUAAAUGCUUUUAUGGGGGGUAAUACAAGUAGAACUAUUAUAGUUACUAUAUCAAUCAUAUGUGAUUAAUAACUAUCAAACAAAUGGAUUUUCUUAUACUUCAAACUGUUUUAUCAAUCAAACUCUUCAAAACAUUUCAUAAACUGACAUCAAGUCAUUUAUUACCAUUCAAAUGGUUAAGACUCUUUUAUAUGUUAAACUUUUAUUAAACUCUUUUAAACUUAUAUUUUGUCAAAAUCAUGUCUAUAUAGAUAUAGUUAUAUAAGUAAGGUUGAAAGGACUUAGGACUGAUAACUCACUUUAUUUCAUGUUCCUUGUUUGGUUGUGGACUUAGGGUAUCCGGUUAUUUGUCCGAAUGUCGUUUGAAUCUUAGUUAUAUAUUAUGUAUAUAUGUAUAGAUAUAAAAGUUCUUACAUCAGUUCAGCACCUUUGGGUAGCAAAGGUGUACAAACAUACUUAGACAUUCAAACAACAUUACUAGUAAACUAUAAUAGGUAUAGUUUAGGGAUUUACUACUCACUACUUCUAGUACAAUGAAACAUACAAGAGUCAGCUCAUUCAUGAGUCAAUACAAACUUACUAUUAUGAGAAAAAAGGAAGAACAUACUAUGAUGAGAAACUAAGAGAACAUACACUACACUUGUAACGCCUGUGUUUCCGGGCUUGCCAUUUUUAGCAAUGUAAUAGUCUAGGUUAACCUUUGUAACCCAUUUUGAAAUAAGAGAAGUGUAUUAUUUGAGUAUUAUUUGUUUUGUGCUUAAUUACUUAAUUAUGUGGUUUGAUUAAUUAAGAAUAAAAAUAAGCGUCAAAAUUUAAGUGUAAAAUAAACUUGAUAUCUUUGGUUAAUGUUGUAGUAGUUGAAACGAGGUUUCCGAAUAUAUAUAGAACGCUCAAAUCUGACUUCGUAUGAGGAAGUUAUUAUGAUUUAUUGAAGUUUCGACUUAGCGGUAUGCAGCCCGAAAUACUCGAUUUGAGAUCGAGCGGUUUUUAGUCGAAUCGAUCUAAACGAGAAUCGAAGAUCUCGUUGUUGGUAUCGAAGCGAUGAAAAGUUAGGCGAGAACGGACGUCAAACGAAGAAGUUAUGAAUUUAUAACGAAGUUUUCUGCACCGGCCUAUUAAAAAUAAAUAAUAAAAAUAAAGUUAAAAUUAGCCGACGGAGUCUAAACGAAAGUUGUAGAGCGUAGUCUCACCUUCGCGUGAAUUUAUAACGAAGUUUUCUGCACCGGCCUAUUAAAAAUAAAUAAUAAAAAUAAAGUUAAAAUUAGCCGACGGAGUCUAAACGAAAGUUGUAGAGCGUAGUCUCACCUUCGCGUGUAUAUAAAGAACGUCGAAAACGGAGUUCGUAUGAAGAAGGUAUGAAUUUCCGAAGUUUAUUAAAUAAUUUGUAUUUAAAUUUAAUUAUAAAACCCGGUAUUAUCCGAAGGGGGAGUCACCGGGCAUAUCUGAAGUACGCCCAGCGUACUGCUGUACGCCCCGCGUAUAGCGAAGCAUGACGACCUUCGCACUCGAGUUCUUCGGAUGACGAACGCAAUGACGAUUUCGGACCAGUACGUCCCGCGUACUCCGAGGCUCCAGCCUCCUAUAAAUAGGAUGCGAGGGCAGUCGGCUCAUUUGCUAUUUUUCUCUCUUCUCUCUCCCGUUUUGCAUCGAUUUGCGUGCCAGAAAUACCCCAAAGCCCCGGUAUUAUUCUCGAGCCCCGAAGCAAGUCCCGAGAUCCCGAAGAUCCCGAGAAGUGCGGUUCCCGAGCCGAAGCUCUGCCCACGAGAAGUUCGAUUUUUGUGAAGAUCUUCCAGAUCUGCGGAGAGAUACUACUUCUACAAGCCGUAGUGCUGUCUGAUCAUCUUCUGAUCAAGAAGUGGCGCGAGGGCAUAAUAUGGACGAACUAUCAAGUUGUUUUGUUUACAAGUCUGUAUAUGUAUAUAUUUGUUGAAUGACUUGUAAUGUUAUCGUUUAUGCUUAUUGGUCUGUAUCGGACAAUGACACCCCAAGUUUUGAUUAUAUAAUGAAAAUACAUUUCUUUUAUGAAAUGCUUUGGUAAA